UACGAAGGGGGCUAGCGUUGUUCGGAAUUACUGGGCGUAAAGGGCGCGUAGGCGGCCAUUCAAGUUAGGUGUGAAAGCCCUGGGCUCAACCUAGGAAUUGCACUUGAUACUGUUUGGCUUGAGUUCGGGAGAGGUGAGUGGAAUUCCCAGCGUAGAGGUGAAAUUCGUAGAUAUUGGGAAGAACACCAGUGGCGAAGGCGGCUUACUGGACCGACACUGACGCUGAGGCGCGAAAGCGUGGGGAGCAAACAGG
rnacentral:rRNA from 1 species